AGCGACUAAGCGUACACGGUGGAUGCCCAGGCAGUCAGAGGCGAUGAAGGACGUGCUAAUCUGCGUAAAGCGACGGUAAGGUGAUAUGAACCGCUACAGCCGUCGAUGUCCGAAUGGGGAAACCCGGUGCACUCUGUGCAUCAUUGCAGCAUGAAUACAUAGUGCUGCAAGGCGAACCGGGGGAACUGAAACAUCUAAGUACCCCGAGGAAAAGAAAUCAACCGAGAUUCCCCCAGUAGCGGCGAGCGAACGGGGAGCAGCCCAGAGCCUGAAUCAGUUUGUGUGUUAGUGGAAGCGUCUGGAAAGUCGCAGGGUACAGGGUGAUACUCCCGUACACAAAAGCACACAAGCUGUGAGCUCGAUGAGUAAGGCGGGACACGUGGUAUCCUGUCUGAAUAUGGGGGGACCAUCCUCCAAGGCUAAAUACUCCUGACUGACCGAUAGUGAACCAGUACCGUGAGGGAAAGGCGAAAAGAACCCCGGCGAGGGGAGUGAAACAGAACCUGAAACCGUGUACGUACAAGCAGUGGGAGCCUUCUUUAUGGGGGUGACUGCGUACCUUUUGUAUAAUGGGUCAGCGACUUAUAUUCUGUAGCAAGGUUAACCGUAUAGGGGAGCCGCAGGGAAACCGAGUCUUAACUGGGCGUUAAGUUGCAGGGUAUAGACCCGAAACCCGGUGAUCUAGCCAUGGGCAGGUUGAAGGUUGGGUAACACUAACUGGAGGACCGAACCGACUAAUGUUGAAAAAUUAGCGGAUGACCUGUGGCUGGGGGUGAAAGGCCAAUCAAACCGGGAGAUAGCUGGUUCUCCCCGAAAGCUAUUUAGGUAGCGCCUCGUGAACUCAUCUUCGGGGGUAGAGCACUGUUUCGGCUAGGGGGCCAUCCCGGCUUACCAACCCGAUGCAAACUGCGAA
rnacentral:rRNA from 1 species